rnacentral:pre_miRNA from 1 species
CGUUCUUCACUGGCUAGCUUUAUGUCCUCCGACCCCACGCUAAAGCUGCCAGUUGAAGAGCUGU